CUGGCUCAGGACGAACGCUGGCGGCGUGCCUAAUACAUGCAAGUCGAACGGCUUUUCUAUGGAAGCUUGCUUCCACUGAGAAGAUAGUGGCGAACGGGUGAGUAACACGUGGGUAACCUGCCCAUAAGAGGGGGAUAACAUCCGGAAACGGGUGCUAAUACCGCAUAGUUUUCUUGGUCGCAUGAUCGGGAAAGGAAAGACGGCCUUUGUGCUGUCGCUUAUGGAUGGACCCGCGGCGUAUUAGUUAGUUGGUGAGGUAACGGCUCACCAAGACGAUGAUACGUAGCCGACCUGAGAGGGUGAUCGGCCACAUUGGGACUGAGACACGGCCCAAACUCCUACGGGAGGCAGCAGUAGGGAAUCUUCCGCAAUGGACGAAAGUCUGACGGAGCAACGCCGCGUGAGUGAAGAAAGGUUUUCGGAUCGUAAAACUCUGUUGUCAGAGAAGAACAAGUCGGAGAGUAACUGCUCCGGCCUUGACGGUAUCUGACCAGAAAGCCACGGCUAACUACGUGCCAGCAGCAGC
rnacentral:rRNA from 1 species